rnacentral:rRNA from 1 species
GAUGAACGCUGGCGGCGUGCUUAACACAUGCAAGUCGAACGGGCGAGGCAUACAAGGAGUUUUCGGACAACGAGUAAGCCAAGCUAGUGGCGGACGGGUGAGUAACGCGUGGGUAACCUACCUUACAAAGGGGGAUAACAGUUGGAAACGACUGCUAAUACCGCGUAAGACCAAGCUAGUGCAUACUAGAGAGGUAAAAGACGAAAGUCGAUGUAAGAUGGGCCUGCGUCUGAUUAGAUAGUUGGUGGGGUAAGAGCCUACCAAGUCGACGAUCAGUAGCCGACCUGAGAGGGUGAACGGCCACAUUGGGACUGAGACACGGCCCAA